UCCUUCCCGCCCUCUCCGCUGCCCCGGCCGAGCCGGCUUCCCCUCGGUCUCUCAUGAAUAUUGAGCGGCCCCUGUUGUAUUUCCCGAGCUCCAUUGCGGAAGCCGAGGCUCGCCAUAUUGUGCGGCGGCGCCGGCAGCCGCGGCACACUGUACCUGAGUCUCGCUCCGGCCGCGGCUAGCGCAGCCCGGGACUGGAGCAGGAGCCGCAAUGUCUCAGGCUGUGCAGACAAACGGAACUCAACCAUUAAGCAAAACAUGGGAACUCAGUUUAUAUGAAUUACAACGAACACCUCAGGAGGCAAUAACGGAUGGCUUGGAAAUUGUGGUUUCACCUCGAAGUCUACACAGUGAAUUAAUGUGCCCAAUUUGUUUGGAUAUGUUGAAGAACACCAUGACUACAAAAGAGUGUUUACAUCGUUUUUGUGCAGACUGCAUUAUCACAGCCCUCAGAAGUGGCAAUAAAGAAUGCCCUACCUGUCGGAAAAAGCUAGUUUCCAAAAGAUCACUAAGACCAGACCCAAACUUUGAUGCACUCAUCAGCAAAAUUUAUCCAAGUCGUGAUGAGUAUGAAGCUCAUCAAGAAAGAGUAUUAGCCAGGAUCAACAAGCACAAUAAUCAGCAAGCACUCAGUCACAGCAUUGAGGAAGGACUGAAGAUACAGGCCAUGAACAGAUUACAGCGAGGCAAGAAACAACAGAUUGAAAAUGGUAGUGGAGCAGAAGACAAUGGAGACAGUUCUCACUGUAGUAAUGCAUCCACACAUAGCAAUCAGGAAGCAGGACCUAGUAACAAACGGACCAAAACAUCUGAUGAUUCUGGGCUUGAGCUUGAUAAUAACAAUGCAACAGUGGCAAUUGAUCCAGUAAUGGAUGGUGCUAGUGAAAUUGAAUUAGUAUUCAGGCCUCAUCCCACACUUAUGGAAAAAGAUGACAGUGCACAGACAAGAUACAUAAAGACUUCAGGUAAUGCCACUGUUGAUCACUUAUCCAAGUAUCUGGCUGUGAGGUUAGCUUUAGAAGAACUUCGAAACAAAGGAGAAUCAAACCAGAUGAACCUUGAUACAGCCAGUGAGAAGCAGUAUACCAUUUACAUAGCAACAGCCAGUGGCCAGUUCACUAGAAGCAAGUUAAUGGAGCUUGAGCCCUGCCUUGAUGUGUAGUGAAAGAUAAUUCUGUAGAAGAAUGUCAGCCAGCAUGGAGUUCUCGAUAUAUUCUGGAUAUUAAUCUGUCAUCAGAUACAUGAUUUACAGGGGACGUGAGUUCGAUCCCUGGUCGGGGAACUAAGAUCCUACAUGUCACGGGGCAACUAAACCUGCGCGCCACAACUACUGAGCUCACCCACCUCUACUGAAGAGCCUGCGUUCUGCAAACUACAGAGUCUAUGUGCUCUGGAGCCCACGCCACAACUAGAGAAGAGAAAACCCGCAUGUCACAACUAUAGAGAAGCCUGCAUGCCACUACGAAGAGCCUGCGCACCACGAGUGCUGCAACAAAAUAUCCCACAUGCCGCAAUGAAUAUGCUGCAUGCUGCAACAAAGACCCAACCCAGCCAAAUAAACAAAUAUUAAAAAAAAAAUCCAACUGGCUCAGAGGAUGUGAUCAGCUUAAAAUCACUACUUCAUCACUUUUACCAUAUUUACAGAGACAUUACUAAUGAUGAUGAUGAUGGUAGUAGAAGUGGUAAUAAUACAAUAAUGAUGAUACUGAGUACUUUUAUAGCAUUUGCUAUAUACCAGACACUGUUCCAAUUUCUUUACAUGUAUUAAUUUACCUAAUCUUCACAUUAUUUUAUGGUGGGUACCCUCCUUUAGAUAGAUGAGGAAACUGAAGCUUAAAUUUCCUGUGGUUAGACAGCUAACACGUUAUAAAGCUGGGAUUUGAAUGCAGCCAGUUUGAUUCCACAGUCCAUGUUUUUCACCACUAGUUCUCCCUGAGGAGAGGAACAUGAGAGCUAAGUCAUGCUUUCAUCCCAUUGGUACAAACUUCCCAAGAAUACACUCCUAUAACCUUUAAGAAGUAAGAUGUGGAUUAGGUACAAGUGGCUUCUUAGAAAUUUUCUACUUUUUCCAUUAUCUUUUCUCUACUGUUAAGUCCUUUUGGGAAAAAUGUUCUCAAUCUUUAAAAUUUCACCUUACCCCACUGCCUAAUGACUAAGCAAUAUUUACUGCAUCACAAAAAAGAGACAACCAAAUACCAACUGAUAGCUGAUUGCAGUAGAUGUGUAUUCUUGCAAAAAAAAAAAUAUCCUAUCUGAAUCUGCAAACCUGAAGAUCCAACUACCAAUUUACAGAAAUAUGAGAGACAGAGGAACCAUGUGAUGGUUCAUCUUAUAUGAACCAUGGUGAUGCAAUCAGCAAAAAUCUAGACUGUGGGAAACUCUACAGGGCAAAUGACCUGUUAUAUCAACAAAUAAUUAUCACACAUACACACAAAAUGAUGGAAGGUAAUAUAGAUUAAGAAGAGACUUAAGAGACAUACUAAACAACUGAAAUAUAUAGUCUUUGUUUGGAUUCAGAUUUGAAUUUAAAAAAAAUUAUGAAAUAGGUAUAUCUAAACAUUUGAUGACAUUAAAGAAUUAUUCUUAAUUUUUUAGGUGUGAUAUGGUAUAUGGGUUUUAAUUGUAAAAAGUCCUUGUCUUUUACAUAUCCCAUUGAAAUAUUUACGGAUGAAAUGAUCUGUGAUUUGUUUCAAAAUAAUGGGGAUAUAGAAUGGAGGAAUGAGGUAUGAGGGAAAGUGCAUGGGAAUACAUAUAUAAGACUGAGUAUGAAUUGGUAAUUUCUGAAGUGAGUGAUGGAUAUAAAGGGAUUCAUUUAUUAUAUGCUCUACUUUUGUAUAUAUUUGAAAAUUUUCCAUAAUAAAAAAAUUUACCUUGGAUCUUUUUUUUAUAUCAAAAUAUUUUGCUACAUAUGAUAUCCAUAUAAAUUUCCUAAGAAAAGAUACUGUACCAGAAGGUGGGCAAAAGGUACAAAUUUCCAAUUAUAAGAUAAAUAAGUACUAGGGAUGAAAUGUACAACAUGAUGACUAUGUAUAGGUAACACUGUUAUAUAGGAACAUCAAGAGGGUAAAUGCUAAGAGUUCUCAUCACAAGGAGAAAUAUUUUUUCUUCUUUCUUUUCUUCUUAUGGUAUUGUAUCUACAUGAGAUGAUGGAUGUUAGCUGAACCUACUGUGGUAAUCAUUUCACAAUAUAUGUAAAGCAAAUCAUCAUGCUGUACACCUCAAACGUGUACACCUGUACAGUGAUGUAUGCCAAUUGUUUCUCAAUAUAACUGGGAAAAAAAUCUCUUCAGGUUCACAUGAUAUAAACAAACCCUUAGUUUUCAAAGUGGCUAAACAACAAGAAAAAAAAAGGGAAAGAAAAGAUACUGUACAGAUCUGAUAAAGUGGGGUUCCAAAAAGGCUUCAUUACUUACCAGUAGCUCCAAAGGCAUCUAGACAUUCCAAAGGUUUUCGUUCCUUAGCCAAAGCAGCCAGUGUACAGAAUAUUAGCUGCCUAGAAGAAAGUAUAACAAUCAAGUAAUUUUACGGCACCAUGGUUUCAUCAUUGUAGAUUUUAUUUUAAGAAUAGUGAGAAAUGGGGCUCCUAUUUACUAUGCAAACUAUUUUGGAAAGAGACCUAAUAUUAUAUUCCUUACUUAACAGAACAAGAACUAAAAAUCUGUGAAAUUAAACUACAAAUCAAAUUGGGUUUUAUUAACAAGUAUUCACGAUGAAUAAUGAUUUUAUAAAUAAAACUUGCCCACAAACUUGCCCAACAUGUUCAUUUAAUUAUAUAAAGUUAGACCUGUUUUACUCUCUGAGAAAGAAAUUGGUUUGGCAGAAAAAUAAAAGAGAGAAAACAAUCAUUCUGAGAAAAUGCUAAUAAAAUAAAUGAUUUUCAAUCUAUACCUAGUUUUGUUUCAAUAUAUUAAAACAAAAAGAUUAGGAAAAGGUACAUCUGUAAUUAUUUGAAACAUCCCAUAACCCUGUUUUCAAUUUACCUUACCGAUUUAGUUUCAUUUUGGGAUUAAAAUAGGAAUCUGUUUUCUGAGGUACAGAAUAGUUGGGACAAACUUGUACAUCUGUGUCUGCCUCUUUCAAAAUUUCAUUAGGUGGUUUGGCAGCAGAAGCUAAAAUUACAAAAAAAAAAAAAGAUUUCCAGUGAAAUACAAAAUAAUUCUAAAUAUCAAAAACAAUAUACAUUAAAAAAAUAACCUUCCUUUAUAAUAUUUCAUGUUAAUGAAAUCAGUUGAGUAGAUGCCAAAAAAGUCCCCCCAAACUGACCUACCUAGCACUGUCUCUGGAAAAGAGUAGUACUCAGUUAAGUAUUUGGUGAAUUAAAGUUUGUCAGCUUAAAAUCUUAACUGUCUAGCACAUCAAUAUAUCUGUAUACCUAGUUAAGAAUAAUCAACCGAAGAUAGUACAAAAUCCUAAAAUACCUUUAUUACUCAUCAAACACUACAUUGUGUUUAUAUAGGUUGGUUGCUAAAUAUAUUUUAUUGUGGUUUAAACAUUAGAAAAUUAACCUUUCUGUGUAGUUACAUUCCAUUAGCCGGCAUGGAUAACUAAGAGUCACUAUAUUUCCUGAAUGUGCUUGACUUCAGAACACUUUCUCAUAAUUAUGAUUUUAAAUCACAAAUUAUAUUCAAACAGCUAUAAGCUAAUGUAAAAAAAUUAUUCUAUAUUUAAUAUACAUUAGAAUCAUUUAGCUAUAAACCCAAAUGAAACAGUGAUGUUUGUGUGAAUAUAUUUUAAAUAUUUAAGAAAGGAAACAUAUGUAAUAUGUGUGGGGGAAAUAUAAUUGAGAUUCUCUAUGUUUGGAUUUCUUGAUAACAUUACUAUCAGAAUGUU